UCUCGCCCCGCCCCCUUCUCCGAACGCCCGUCACGUGCCCCGAAGCUGCCGCCCCAUUGGACGGGGAGCGAGGGGCCGGGUAGAAAAGCCGGGCGAGGGGGGGUGCCCGGCCUCUGUGCGCGGGGCUGGCGUCGGGGGCGCGGCCGGACCCGACCGGACCGGAUGGGAGCGAGGGUGCGGAGCAGCUGCAGUCAAUAAAGGCGUGUCGUAGCGGA